CCCCGGCCCCCGCUAGCCAUGGCCCCUACUGCCCUCUGGGGACAGCCCGGCCGCGGUGGCGGCCCGCGGGGACAGCCCUGCCCGGCCUGGCGGGUGAAGUCGCUUCGCUUCGCUUCCCUUCGCCUGGCCUGUGGAGUGACUCCGGAGCAGAACCAGCCCCGCGCUCCAAGCGCAUCGCGGGGGGCGGCGGCGGGAGCGGGGGUCUGUUCCAUUCAGAAUAACCUACCUGCUUUGAAUGCUUCGAAAGGGUCAUGGAAACGUUCCUGCUUCCGUUAAGCUUUGUAGACGCCCGUUUACACAGCCUGCCUGUGCCCCUUUAAACCCUGCCUGCAAACCCCAGUGUAACCCAGCUAGGCAUUCUUUAGUUUACAGAACACAGGAGCCUGUUUACAAGGAGCAGUACUUUGAGCAGGUAUUGGAUCACUUCAACUUCGAAUCGUAUGGCAAUAAGACCUUCCUACAGAGAUACCUCACAACAGCUAAAUUCUGGAAGAAGGGAGUUGGGCCCAUCUUCUUUUAUACUGGGAAUGAAGGAGACAUUUGGGAAUUUGCUCAGAAUUCCGGCUUCAUCCUUGAGCUGGCAGAACAGCAGAAUGCGCUAGUAAUUUUUGCUGAGCAUAGGUAUUAUGGGACAUCUCUUCCAUUUGGGAAACUGUCAAUGCAGCGGGAAAAUAUUGGCCUGCUCACUGUGGAACAAGCCCUUGCUGACUAUGCGGUGCUCAUUACAGAGCUUAAAAAGCAGUAUGGUGCCAGGGACUGCCCAGUCAUUGCCUUCGGAGGCAGUUACGGAGGAGUGUUGAGUGCUUACAUGAGAAUGAAAUAUCCUAACAUUGUGGCUGGAGCACUAGCUGCCAGUGCUCCUCUGUUGGCUGUGGCUGGGAUUGGAGACCCCAACCAGUUCUUUCAAGCUGUCACUGCAGAUUUUCAGAGCUAUAGCCCAGCUUGUGUCAAGGCCGUGAGCAAAGCCUUCCAGGAAAUCAGUGACCUCUACUUGCGUGGAGCCUACGAUAUAAUCAGCAGUGAAAUGUCCACUUGCAAGAGGGUUUCUAGCAAGGAAGAUGUCUACCAGCUGUUUGAGUUUGCUCGAAGUGCCUUCACCAUGAUGGCUAUGAUGGACUAUCCUUACAAAACAGACUUCAUGGGUCACUUCCCUGCUUACCCAGUCAAGGUUGGCUGUGACCAGAUCCUUGCACACCAGGACUAUAUUAAAGGACUGGCAGCUCUUAUCGGAGUGUUCUACAACUCGACUAAGAUGGUGCCGUGUUAUGACAUAUACGAACAGUUCAGAAAAUGUUCUGACCCGACUGGCUGUGGCCUCGGCCCAGAUGCCGAGGCGUGGGACUAUCAGGCUUGUACCGAGAUCAACUUAACCUGCAGCAGCAACAACGUGACCGACUUUUUCCCCGAACUCCCGUUCACCGAGGCCAUGAGACAGCAGUACUGCUUCAACAAAUGGCUCGUGCACCCGCAAAGGGACUGGUUGCAAACAAUGUUUUGGGGCAGCGACCUGAAAGCUGCAAGCAACAUCAUAUUUUCAAAUGGAGACUUGGAUCCAUGGGCAGGCGGUGGCUGUUAACAGACCACCUUAGGCUGCUCCAUGGAAAUGCUGAAUGGCUACAGAGCAGGCAGCAGUUGCUCAUGUCCCUCCUGUUAAAGGGGUAUUUUUGCUCUGCUAAACUAUUUGGCAGCCCCAGAACACUUGUGGCAAAUGGUAAGUUCGUCUAUCAGGGAGGCUGCUUCUUUCUGCCAAAGAGGGGAUUUGAUUUUUUGGCUUUGCUGCAGCAAAGACCACUUCAUUUUAGACAUAACCGCUCUUUGCACUAGCUUCUGCUGGUUCAGAAUUUGGGGAAAUACCCACAGCUAGUUCUACUUCUUUUGCACCCCUCCCUCCAGCUCCGGCUGCUGUUGGAAACCAACUUCUUCCCAGUUCUGAGCUACAGCUGCCCUAACACCCUAACUUUCGAGCUGCUGAAGAUCAGAUUUGUGCAAACUAAAAAUGAAUUCAUUCUCCCCAACAACCUGAUGCAGCCAGGGUAACACCUGAAAGGCUCACGGUUCUGGAAAGAUCGGUUUUAUUGGGGAAAUAAGCCUGGCCACAAACGUUAACACUUUUUACCUGUAAUGGGGGAAAUGUCAAUUUCAGUUGAGAAAACACAUUUGACUUAUUGGGAGUGGGAGGAAGACAAGGGCUUAUGAUGAUCCUGACACACCUAUACCUGUCCUGCUACUGACCAGGUCAGCGUCCUGUUGCCCUUCCUGGCUCUGUCUUUAAUUUUUAAAGCCCAUAUUCAAACACACUUGUCUGGUAUAAGGAGUUUGACUUGCACAUUUUAUUGUUCCAGAUAAAUAGUAACCUCAGUUCCUCACUAAUUGCGAUAACCAUUAAGGGAGGCGCUCAUCAUCUGGAUCUCCGAGGAUAUAAUCCAGCUGAUCCUCCAUCUGUCACAGAUGCACGCAACCUAGAAGCAAGGAUUAUCUAUAACUGGGUGA